GAUGAACGCUGGCGGCGUGCCUAAUACAUGCAAGUCGAGCGAACAGACGAGGAGCUUACUCCUCUGACGUUAGCGGCGGACGGGUGAGUAACACGUGGAUAACCUACCUAUAAGACUGGGAUAACUUCGGGAAACCGGAGCUAAUACCGGAUAACAUGUUGAACCGCAUGGUUCAACAGUGAAAGACGGUCUUGCUGUCACUUAUAGAUGGAUCCGCGUCGCAUUAGAUAGUUGGUAAGGUAACGGCUUACCAAGGCAACGAUGCGUAGCCGACCUGAGAGAGUGAUCGGCCCCCUUGGAAGUGAGCCGCGGUCAAGAAUCCUAAGGGAGGCCGCAGUAGGGUAUCUUCCGCAAUGGGCGAGAACAUGACAGAGCAACGCCGCGUGAGUGACGAAGAUCUUCGGAUCGUAAAACUCUGUUACUAGGGAAGAACAAAUGUGUAAGUAACUAUGCACGUCUUGACGGUACCUGAUAAGAAAGCAACGGCUAACUACGUG
rnacentral:rRNA from 1 species